AGAACGAACGCUGGCGGCAGGCCUCAAACAUGCAAGUCUAGGGGGUGUAGCAAUACAUCACCGGCGGACGGGUGCGUAACACGUGGGAAUAUACCUUUUGGUUCGGAACAACGCAGGGAAACUUGCGCUAAUACCGAAUGUGCCCUUACGGGGAAAGAUUUAUCGCCAAAGGAUUAGCCCGCGUAGGAUUAGCUAGUUGGUGAGGUAAUGGCUCACCAAGGCUCCGAUCCUUAGCUGUUCUGAGAGGAAGAUCAGCCACACUGGGACUGAGACACGGCCCAGACUCCUACGGGAGGCAGCAGUUGGGAAUCUUGGACAAUGGGGGAAACCCUGAUCCAGCCAUGCCGCGUGAGUGAUGAAGGCCUUCGGGUUGUAAAACUCUUUCGACGGGGACGAUAAUGGCGGUACCCGUAGAAGAGCUCCGGCUAACUUCGUGCCAGCAGCCGC
rnacentral:rRNA from 1 species